GCUCCUACGGGGGGCAGCAGUGGGGAAUAUUGGGCAAUGGGCGCAAGCCUGACCCAGCAACGCCGCGUGAAGGAAGAAGGCUUUCGGGUUGUAAACUUCUUUUAUUGAGGACGAAACAAAUGACGGUACUCAAUGAAUAAGCCACGGCUAACUACGUGCCAGCAGCCGCGGUAAUACGUAGGUGGCAAGCGUUAUCCGGAUUUACUGGGUGUAAAGGGCGUGUAGGCGGGACUGCAAGUCAGAUGUGAAACCAAUGGGCUCAACCCAUGGCCUGCCUUUUGAACUGUGGUUUGUGAGUGAUGGAG
rnacentral:rRNA from 1 species